AUGCAACUGAAGAGUCCCAGAUAGGACGAAACGUGCGUACUAGAU
rnacentral:hammerhead_ribozyme from 1 species